GGCCGGUUAGCUCAGUUGGUUAGAGAGCGUGGUGCUAAUAACGCCAAGGUCGCGGGUUCGACUCCCACGGGCCAGCCG